rnacentral:tRNA from 1 species
GGAGAGAUGGCCGAGUGGUUGAAGGCGGUUGAUUCGAAAUCAAUUGAGCGGUUAAUCCUGCUCCGGGGGUUCGAAUCCCUCUCUCUCCG